UUGAGCGCAUGAUGUGGACAGACAUUUUUGGAAACACCUCGCGUCGAUGUCUUUCUUUUAUCAUACAUAAUGUUCUGGCUUAUUUGUAGAGGUCAUUGGAAGAGACUGGGAUUUUUUUUAUUCUCCACAGACAUGCUGGCGUUCCACCCAUGAUCAGAAAAUGGUUAAACAAGUGCGCACACUGCGCAGUGCUUAUUAAACGACUCUCCUGAUGACCAGUGCGAGAAUCAGCUCAAAAGAUGGUUCCAGCUGUCCUUACCAGUCCGUCAGUCCUCAACAGUGUAUUUUGAAUAUCACACUUCCACUGUUCUGCAAUAUUCUGCAAUAUUCCUGCUAUAUUCUCUCCAUACCACAG